rnacentral:rRNA from 1 species
UACGUAGGGGGCUAGCGUUGUCCGGAAUCAUUGGGCGUAAAGAGCGUGUAGGCGGUCCGGUAAGUCCGCUGUGAAAGUCGGGGGCUCAACCCUGGGAUGCCGGUGGAAACUGUCGGGCUCGAGUCCGGAAGAGGCGAGUGGAAUUCCUGGUGUAGCGGUGAAAUGCGCAGAUAUCAGGAGGAACACCAAUGGCGAAGGCAGCUCGCUGGGACGGUACUGACGCUGAGACGCGAAAGCGUGGGGAGCGAACAGG